AUGACGACGGUAGAGGUACUCAAAAUCUUGGCGGCGGUAGUCGUUCACGUUCGUUUCGGAGAGGUACUUGAUGACUCCAACGUCUUCGGGGCGACAAUAGUUGUACACGGUCCACGAUACGUCGAUCGUUCAGCGUCCGAUUGCGGGUCUUGCCGACAUGAAGGGGUACUUGGCGUUUUUGUAAAGGUACUCUCGAUCUUGCCGGUGUGGACUUGUUUACAGGAGGAGGUCUUUACGAUCUUGACGAAUCCGAGUGGCUCUAGGCACACGUCCACAGUGGUCUUCCAUCUUCUUCUUUCCUGUACAAGGCUUGACUGA
rnacentral:rRNA from 1 species